rnacentral:rRNA from 1 species
GAUGAAAGUUGCCUUUUGGUAGCGUUCAAGGAUGGACCUGCGUCCCAUUAGCUAGUUGGUGAGGUAACGGCUCACCAAUGCAACGAUGGGUAUCCGGCCUGAGAUGGUGACCGGUCACACUGGGACUGAGAUACGGCCCAGACUCCUACGGGAGGCAGCAGUGAGGAAUAUUGCGCAAUGGCCGAAAGGCUGACGCAGCAACGCCGCGUGGGUGAUGACGCUCCACUGAGUGUAAAGCCCUGUUAGGAGGGAAGAACGACAUUGGCGUGAAUAAUGUCAAUGCAUGACGGUACCUCCAGAGAAAGCCCCGGCUAACUCCGUGCCAGCAGCCGCGGUAAUACGGUGGGGGCAAGCGUUGUCCGGAAUUAUUGGGCGUACAGGGCGCGUAGGCGGAAUAAUAAGUCAGAGGUGAAAAACCAUGGGCUUAACUUAUGGCUUGCCUUUGAAACUGUUAUUCUUGAGUGCGGAAGAGGGAAGUGGAAUUCCUGGUGUAACGGUGAAAUGCGUAGAUAUCAGGAAGAACACCGGUAGCGAAGGCGGCUUCCUGGUCCGUAACUGACGCUGAGGCGCGAAAGCGUGGGGAGCAAACAGGACUAGAUACCCUGGUAGUCCACGCCGUAAACGAUGGGCACUAGGUGUUGGUUCACGAUGAGUGGAUCAGUGCCGAAGCUAACGCAUUAAGUGCCCCGCAUGGGGAGUACGAUCGCAAGGUUGAAACUCAAAGGAAUUGACGGGGGCCCGCACAAGCGGUGGAGCAUGUGGUUUAAUUCGAUGCAACGCGAAGAACCUUACCUGGGCUUGAACUGAAGUGGCUCGCCACCGAAAGGUGGUUUUUCCUUCGGGAACUGCUUCAGAGGUGCUGCAUGGCAGUCGUCAGCUCGUGCCGUGAGGUGUUGGCUUAAGUCCCGCAACGAGCGCAACCCUUGCCCUUAGUUGCCAUCAGGUUAUGCUGGGAACUCUAAGGGGACUGCCCCGGAUAACGGGGAGGAAGGUGGGGAUGACGUCAAGUCACUCAUGGCCCUUACGUCCAGGGUUACACACGUGCUACAAUGGCUGGUACAACGGGAAGCGAUAUCGCGAGAUGGAGC